rfam:Oryza glaberrima chromosome 1 Oglab01_0197_19, whole genome shotgun sequence.
UUUAAUUGCAGUUGUGGGUUUUAGUGUUUAAUGUUUAUCCGUCUUAUUUAAAUUAUUUUAUAAUUACUAUUUAUAUUGUUAUUAGAUGAUAAAAUAUGAAUAUUACUCAUGCAUGAAUCAAGUUUUUAAUUUUUUAUAAUUUCUUUAAAUAAGACAGACGGUUAAACGUUUGGUACGGAAACCCAUAACUGUACUAAAA